rnacentral:tmRNA from 1 species
GGUGUAAAGAUCGUACUUUUGCCCGGCAUUGUACCACCGUUAUCGGGCUGAACUUAUAGUUGCCAACGACAACUAUGCGGAAGCACGUCUCGCCGCGUAAGCGGUGCGAUAGCUUCAAAUCAAGCCCUAGUGGUUCGCACUUCUAGGCGGGGUUCGGAGGUACCUGGCAACAGAAACCUCCACU